GGCGAGGUAGGGGAGCGUUCUGUUGUAGGUUGAAGCAUUAACGUAAGUGGGUGUGGACGAAGCAGAAGUGAGAAUGUCGGCUUGAGUAGCGAAAACAUUGGUGAGAAUCCAAUGCCCCGAAAACCUAAGGUUUCCCCCGGAAGGCUCGUCCGCGGGGGGUGAGUCAGGACCUAAGGCGAGGUCGAAAGACGUAGUCGAUGGACAAUAGGUUAAUAUUCCUAUACCGUUUUUUAUUGGCAACGAGGGACGAAGAAGGCUAAACUUAUCCAGAUAGUGGUCACUGGUCCAAGCAUUCAAGGUUAUGAGAAAUAGUGAAAAUAUUUUGAGCUGAGAUGUGAUGGGGAGAUACUUAGUAUUGAAGUAGUUGAUGUCAUGCUUCCAAGAAAAGCUUGCACUGUCAUAAAUAGAAAACGCCUGUACCCUAAACCGACACAGGUAGGUAGGUAGAGUAUACUAAGGGGCGCGAGAUAACUCUCUCUAAGGAACUCGGCAAAAUAACCCCGUAACUUUGGGAGAAGGGGUACCCUAUGGGUUGCAAUAACAAGGUCCAAGCGACUGUUUAUCAAAAACACAGGUCUCCGCGAAGUCGAAAGACAAUGUAUGGGGGCUGACGCCUGCCCAGUGCCGGAAGGUUAAAGAAGCUGGUUAGCAGUAGCGAAGCUAGUGACUGAAGCCCCGGUGAACGGCGGCCGUAACAAUAACGGUCCUAAGGUAGCGAAAUUCCUUGUCGGGUAAGUUCCGACCUGCACGAAUGGCGUAACGAUGGCCACACUGUCUCCUCCCGAGACUCAGCGAAGUUGAAAUGUUUGUGAUGAUGCAAUCUACCCGCGGCUAGACGGAAAGACCCCAUGAACCUUUACUGUAGCUUUGCAUUG
rnacentral:rRNA from 1 species